AGGACGAACGCUGGCGGCGUGCUUAACACAUGCAAGUCGAGCGGUAAGGCCUUUCGGGGUACACGAGCGGCGAACGGGUGAGUAACACGUGGGUGACCUGCCCUCCACUCUGGGAUAAGCCUUGGAAACGGGGUCUAAUACCGGAUAUGACCUUCCUCCGCAUGGGGGUGGGUGGAAAGCGUUUAGUGGUGGGGGAUGGACCCGCGGCCUAUCAGCUUGUUGGUGGGGUAGUGGCCUACCAAGGCGACGACGGGUAGCCGGCCUGAGAGGGCGACCGGCCACACUGGGACUGAGACACGGCCCAGACUCCUACGGGAGGCAGCAGUGGGGAAUAUUGCACAAUGGGCGGAAGCCUGAUGCAGCGACGCCGCGUGAGGGAUGACGGCCUUCGGGUUGUAAACCUCUUUCACCUACGACGAAGCGAGAGUGACGGUAGUGGGAGAAGAAGUACCGGCCAACUACGUGCCAGCAGCCGC
rnacentral:rRNA from 1 species